UACGUAGGGUGCAAGCGUUGUCCGGAAUUAUUGGGCGUAAAGAGCUCGUAGGCGGUCUGUCGCGUCGACUGUGAAAACCCGGGGCUCAACCCCGGGCCUGCAUUCGAUACGGGCAGACUAGAGUUCGGUAGGGGAGUCUGGAAUUCCUGGUGUAGCGGUGAAAUGCGCAGAUAUCAGGAGGAACACCGGUGGCGAAGGCGGGACUCUGGGCCGAUACUGACGCUGAGGAGCGAAAGCGUGGGGAGCGAGCAGG
rnacentral:rRNA from 1 species